rnacentral:hammerhead_ribozyme from 1 species
AUCCAACUAACGAGUCCCAAAUCGGACGAAAUGCGCUUCCUGUAU